UGGAUGUGCCAAGUAUCGACUUGGAUUACGAUGAAUUUCAUAUCGAUGGACACGUAUGUUCGCCAGCCCUGGCUACUGUUUUUCUCUUUGGGGGUUGCACAUUGUUGCUAAUACUUUCUAGAGAAUUUUUUUGUGUUGAGAACUUAAUUGGGAAGAGUCCGCAGCAGGCCAUUAUAAAUCACAAAACUGGUUUAAACACUUAAAAAGUUUUAUUCAAAAUUCGUGCUCAAUUACAUAUGCAUUUACAAAUAAAGCGCCACGGAAUGUUUUCCCAUCAAAUUACUUUGUAGCUCACAAUUCAAUUGGAGGAGAGGAUGAUGCAUGGAGAUAUACAAUAAACGGGCAAUAAUACAAAAGUAAACGUUUUCAAACUAAUUUAAAUCAUACUUAUGACAUAGUACCUACGAUACACUCAUUUAUAAAAAAAAACCUACUACCAAUAACACAACAUUCAAAGCGUAUUUUGUUAGGGUAGUCCUGGAGAUAAAGCCUCGUCGCAACCACUUUCGAGGACGCGAAACCAACGGAAUCAGAAUUGUACCGUUAUUUGUCCAGAACAGUGUUGGGUAAGACAACACACAAUUUUUUUGGCUGGGCGGGUGACUGUUCGGUGAGUCUAAGUGUGUGAGAGUAUGGGGGUGUGUGGUGGGCGUUGAUUUAGACCGCGAAAAA